ensembl:misc_RNA Metazoa_SRP Metazoan signal recognition particle RNA
GCUGGGCAUGGUGGCGCAUGCCUGUAAUCCCAGCUACUUGGGAGGCUGAGGCAGGAGAAUCGCUUGAACCUGGGAGACGGAGGUUGCAGUGAGCAGAGAUCGCACCACUGCACUCCAGCCUGGGUGACACAGCAAGACUCUGUCUCAA